rnacentral:SRP_RNA from 1 species
GCCGGGUGUGGUGGCUCACACCUGUAAUCCCAGCACUUUGGGAGGCUGAGGUAGGUGGAUCACCUGAGGUCAGGAGUUUAAAACGAGCCUGGCCAAGAUGGUGAAACCCCAUCUCUA